UUGCAAUACCAUUUGUGGAACUAGCAUUAUGAUAGUCUGAAUUCUGAAAUGCUUCUGUUGAGUAAUUCAAUAUAGUUGCAUUGCUAAAGACUAAAGAUAGCUUACAUGGAAUCUUAUAGUUAAGCGAAAUAGCCGGGCCUACUUUCGUGCCCUUUUAGAAUUCAAUAUAUCAGAUGGUUAAACGGUUUGAGUGGCAACCUAAGUGAAGUAGGUGCAUAUUUGUUUGCCCACUAUAGCAGAUUUUUAGCUUGACUCUCAGUCUUGAGGUGUUCCGGAAAUAUAGUUAUUGGAUUGAUACCGCAUGCUGGUAUACUUGGGCUUUUAGUGCUCACGUAGGAAUCUAUCUCUUAGUGAGAUGAUAAACUGAAGUCAAUGAAAAAUUGCCAUGUCUAUCAUGGGUUCCUCCUGUAUACUGAUUUUCAACACAACUUUGUAAAUUUCUGUUUAUAAAACCUAGUCCCUCAAUAAACAGACUUUGCUCUCGAAAGCCUGCAGAAAGUCCAUCCUAGUAGGCUCUUCAUCUUUUCUGUGUGGCACAGUUCUUGUAAUAAAUAGUAUACAUAAUACAUUAAUUGUCUGUUUAGAUAGACGAGUUUCAUGCAACUCUUACCAUAAGGGAACUCAUCCAAAGUUAAGCUAUCUUUGUGUGAUGUUUCAGUCUUAAUCCAGAUUAUUUGAGUUUCAGAACAAUGUUGUACUUAAUAUAUGCCAUUAGUCGUGGAACUCCUUAGUUUACCUAAAGUGAAUGUUUUCCUCUCCACUGUGGACCUUAAGAAUUAGGGGUAAAUUGAUCUUUCUGUUGGUUUGUUCCAUAAUAAUAACAAAGUUAUGUUUGAACUGGGAAUGCUAUAUCUUUAUGCGCAAAAAAAAGGGAAUGCUAUAUCUUUGGUUUGGUGAUCAUAAAACAAGUUAGUGUUCAAAGCACCUAUACGUCAGAUGCAGUCGUGUCCCUGUGCUGGACGUGUCUGAUACAGGGAUACGAGGGGACACACCGGGAUACUCGUAUCUCCUAGUAUCCUGUUUUUGCCAAAAAAAUAAAAUAAAUGGGCAGACGUCUGGGAUACUGUUACGACACGACUGGGAUAUGACCAAUGCCCUGCGCCUAGAAAACGAGAGGGAGGAGGGUUGGCAAUGUCUGGCAGCAGUUGUGGGAUAGAGGAGUCAGAUGCUUUGAGAAAUAAGAAAGAGAAAGGGGAAAUAGAGACAAGGUGGGUAACAGAAGCAUGGGAAGCGAUAAGGAGGAGAGCAGGCAGGGCCUAGCAGGUCAGCUUGACACGUUGCCUUUCAGGGGGCCAUACGUUUGUAGUUUGUUGUUUUUUUUAACAGGGAAGAUAGAGACAUGGCAAUGGCAUGGAAUCAAGACUAAGUACCAACAGUGGGCUCACUCAGUCUCAUUUAGAGUCAGUAUGGCUGGGAGCAAGGCCCCCGUCCUCUCUAAUACUUAAGCCUCAUCCCCUCUGCUAUUGCUUAUUUGUUGUAUUGCUUUUCAGAAACUAUGUACAUAUGGUUUUUGGAAAAUCAUGUAUCCUUGUCCCCAUUUCUGUAUCACCGUUUCCGAAUCCUCGUAUGCAUGCUACUUCAAAGUUACUGAGUAAUCACUAUGAAACUAGGAAGCUGGAAGAUGUGCCAAUGCGAUACUGAAAGAUGAUUAUACUAGAAGUAUUGGUCUUGAAACUAGUUUACCCAAAGUAAAUGUGUUCCUUUACACUGUGGGUCUUACAAUUUGGAGUUUGCAUAUGUUGGUUUGUACCAUAAUAAACCCAAAGCAAGUUAUGGUAGAACUGGGACUGCUACAUCUCUGGUAAUCAUAAAACAGGUUAAUGCCAACAGUCAGUACAUAAUUACUAGCAAUAAAGAAGGCUUGAAAAUGUGCCAGAUAUGGCACCGAAAGAUGAGUAUACUACACUGGUAUUUGUCAGGUUGAUAAUUUCUGUAUUCUGUCAAGAGGUCUUUUAACGAUAAAGUGAGAUGAAACUGAAGACUAACCGAAACAUUUGUGUACACCCUUUGUAUUGAAGAAGAUGGCAGGACUGCUGCCUUUUUAUCAAGAGGAUCAGAGUUUUUAUAUACAAGAAAAGGUCAUGUUUGAAGGGGGGACGAGAACCUAGAACCCCAAACAAAAAGGCCACUACUCAGUUAUAGGUUGUUUUUUUGACCAAGUACUCAGUUAUAGGGUUUGUGCUACUUUGUGUUGGCACCAUGGCCAAACAUCACUUUGAGAUAUCUUCUUAUGCCAUGAAAGCCACUGCUGUUGCAUCGAGCAGCUUGCCCUCCCAAAUAUUCUCCUGUUAUGUUCCUCUCCAAACAUGCCACCAGAUGAAGAGUAAUUUUCCACUGCAACUGUGUUUCUCUUCUUAUGCUACUGCUGCUAUGAUUUUGCUCCACCAAUCCGCCCGGCUUGGCUAAGCUAGCUGACAUUGAUGCUGUGGCUAAACCAUUUCCACCUUGCCACCAAGGUAGAAACUGCUUCCACAAAAGGGCAUUUAACGCAAAGAUGAUGAGCUGUUUCAGGAGCUCCUUGACAUAGCUUGCAAACUGGAUCGUGUGGCCAUCUUCUUUUGGCCAUCACGUCAGCUGUAAGGGCACGGUUACGAAGUACCAGCCAGGCAAGGAGGCAGCACCUUUGGUUCAUUCUUCAUUGGCAACUUUCCAUAUUUUAUCUGGUUUGAAAGCCACAAAACUGCCACUGAAUUGCAUCCUGUAUGCAGAUCUUGCUGAGCAUUGCCCUUUUUCAAUCCAUGUCCAAGUGAUAGUAUCUGCAUGUGGAUGCAGCUGGACCUGAAACAGUGUGCCCCAAAACUGGAGGAAUUGCACGAGCUCCUGCAUUGUGCUCACUUUGGCAAGGCAUCGAAUCCACAAAUUGUCAUGCCAAAACAUGUCCUCUCUCCGUUCCCGCUCUGAUAACCGUGGAGGCCCUAAACAACUCCAUGUCUGCUGCAUUGCACGGUAACUGAGUCCCGUGCCAUGGUCUGUCUUGAUCUGUCCAGUGAUACCAUGGCCACCUUAAACACAAAACUCAUCAAAAUUUCGUCAAGUCUAGCACUCCCAGGCCCCCAAGAGCACAUAGUCUGCAGAUAGUGCUCAAAUUGACAAGGGAAUUCCCUCCAUUUGCAAGUUCAGCAUUGUAUUCUUGGCAACCCGUUUUGGUAUUUGGAGGACUGUCAUAUGGUAGGUUGUAAAUAGAGGAUGGGACUGAUUUGGCUAGAGUGGCUCGUCCUGCCCUAGAGAGGUUCUUGCCUUUCCAUCCUGCAAUUCAAGCUCCAACUCUCUCAAAGAGUGGUUGGAAAUCAUUCGUUUACACUCUUUAACAUUAAUAUUGGCUUCACAUGGCAGUUUCAGUUAUUUGAUGCUUGCUAUGUAUUCUGUUACAAAAUGUGUGUCAUAGCUGGAAUAUCAAGGCUCAUUUUGAAAUUAAGAUAACAGAAAUGAUGGUGGUUUAUAGCCAGGUUGCCAGAAUUUGUUGCUUUCUACUCCCUCCGUUCCAUAAUUCUUGUCGAAAUCUUACAUGUAUCUGGACACUUUUUAGGAAUAGAUACAUCCAUUUUUGGGCAAAUUUGAGACAAGAAUUAUGAAACGGAGGGAGUAUUAUUUUCCUUACAAGCUUUUCUGCCAUCUAAAUGUAUUUGUCAUUUAUGUUUUCCUUGUGUUGAGAUGUACAUACGUAACCCCACUAAUACUUAGAUAUUUUGUAACAG